AUUGAACGCUGGCGGCAUGCCUUACACAUGCAAGUCGAACGGCAGCAUGGGUGCUUGCACCUGAUGGCGAGUGGCGAACGGGUGAGUAAUGCAUCGGAACGUACCCGGAAGUGGGGGAUAACGUAGCGAAAGUUACGCUAAUACCGCAUAUUCUGUGAGCAGGAAAGCGGGGGAUCGCAAGACCUCGCGCUUCCGGAGCGGCCGAUGUCGGAUUAGCUAGUUGGCGGGGUAAAGGCCACCAAGGCAACGAUCCGUAGCGGGUCUGAGAGGAUGAUCCGCCACACUGGGACUGAGACACGGCCCAGACUCCUACGGGAGGCAGCAGUGGGGAAUUUUGGACAAUGGGGGCAACCCUGAUCCAGCCAUGCCGCGUGAGUGAAGAAGGCCUUCGGGUUGUAAAGCUCUUUCGGUCUGGGAGAAAUACGCAUCUCCUAAUACGGGUAGUGGAGUGACGGUACCAGCAUAAGAAGCACCGGCUAACUACGUGCC
rnacentral:rRNA from 1 species